rnacentral:rRNA from 1 species
UACAGAGACUGCGAGCGUUAUUCGGAUUCACUGGGCGUAAAGGGUGCGCAGGCGGCUAGGUGUGUUAGGCGUGAAAGCCCGAGGCUUAACCUCGGAAUUGCACCUAAAACUACUUGGCUAGAGUACUGGAGAGGGAAACGGAAUUCACGGUGUAGCAGUGAAAUGCGUAGAUAUCGUGAGGAACACCAGAGGCGAAGGCGGUUUCCUGGACAGUUACUGACGCUCAGGCACGAAAGCGUGGGGAGCAAAAGGG